rnacentral:lncRNA from 1 species
AGUAGCACAAUGGUGUGUUACUUGCUGACAGCGCAAUGUGAGGCAAGGCCCCACGGUUCCACCCAGCAUACAAGCUUAUGGAGCGGCUCCUUUUGAGGGUCUUCAGGUGGAUUUCACAGAAAUGCCAAAAUGUGAAGAUCUUAUUCCUAGGUUUGGACUGCCCUUACGAAUUGGCUCACAUAACGGGCCGGUGUUUGUGGCUGACUUGGUACAGAAGACAGCAAAGGCAUUAGGAAUCACUUGGAAACUACAUGCCGCCUACUGACCUCAGAGUUCUGGAAAGGUGGAGCGAAUGAAUCAGACUAUCAAAAAUAGUUUAGGGAAAGUAUGUCAGGAAACAGGAUUAAAAUGGAUACAGGCCCUUCCUAUGGUAUUGUUUAAAAUUAGAUGCAUCCCUUCUAACAGGAUACUCCCCUUAUGAAAUACUGUAUCAUAGGCCUCCUCCUAUACUAGGGGGACUUCCAGGCACUCCCCGAGAGUUAGGUGAAAUUGAG